GGGCAGAGGUUUUACUUGUGUUUACGCCGUGCUCAAUUCUCUGCCUUCCUUCUCCUCACUGCCCAACCCAGCGAGCUGCCCGUGGCACUGAGCACCCCGAGCUACAACAAAGGAUCACAAGGCACAGGGGGAAACCCGUGUAAUCUCCUUGCUCCAGCACAGUGAGCAACCAGCACGUUUACUGAACAGAAAUGGAUGCUGGAAGGGAAUUUGUGUUCCAGAGCACUGAAACAGUGCCAGGAUGCAGAGACAUCCCCUGAGCCUCACAGUGCUAAACGCAGACUGCAAACCGACAAGUGCAUGGGUUAACGCUGACACGCCAAUGCCAUCCUGCACCAAAUAACGUGGUGAGUGAUAAAACAAAGCAGUUCACUUCUUUUUCAGGCUUGCCACGCAAUGCUGAUUUGCUAAAUGCUGUAGAACAGCUGGCACACGGCAAACGCUUAGGGACAGCGUGGGGCAAAUCUUAAGGAUGCAGCAAUAUGGAUCCCAUGACCUGAGUGAGGGGCUGGGCUGGAAACCACACAGACAGGCUGCAAAACCACUUAAGAAAAAAUAAAAGCAAGAGAGAAAGAAGGAAAAUAUCACCAAUCAUUGCACGGUUUGAUGGCAAAAUCCUAAGGAAAGGAAAAGGCCCUUCUGACAGCAGCACUCCUCUGCAGGAGCAGUGGAAUUGGGGCUCUGCCAAUGCCCAUUUGGCCCCUGGGUGCUCUUUAAUCCGAUGCCACGGGUUUUUCAAGCAUGCUGCUUCCCCCCACAGCCUGCUGCCAACCCACUGAUGGUUUGUGCUGCUUACAGCUCCCAAGGAGGAGAACUACUGAAGAGCAGUGGGAAUAUUUACUUUCUGCUGCUAACGCAAGUCGCAAGCGAAGGACUUCAAAAACCACCUAACCUGCAUGCAGGGAGCUACAAACCGAGCCUGGCUGAGCACAGAAAGAAGCUGUGGGAUGUUGUUCCACGGGGAGAAACAGCCCAACUACAACACAGCCUCAGAGCAGAGCUCUGAAAGGCAGCUGAGCUGCAGCACUGCCUGCAGGGAGGGACAGAGCCUGAGAAGCCACAGCCAACAGGUUUGUUUGCUUGGAAGAGCUGAAAGAAUAAAAGAAAAAAAGAAGGAAAAAGAAAAAAAGAAAAAAAGCAGAAAGGCAAAGGAAACUAACUGUGAACUGGCUGUCUCUGCCUUAUUCCCAUUCUCCAGCACCAGACCUUUAACCUCUCUAUGUGCACUUACAUGCAUGGCUAUGCGCACGCACUCACAUCCUUCCAACUGGAUCACCUACGGGCACAGGCACACUGUACAAAAGCACCUCUGGAAGCUCCAAUGGAUUAAAUGUACACAUUUUUGGCUCACGUUUUUUCUGGCCAUGGCUCAAAGUCCCGCACACACCGCUGCUCCUCUACUGAAGCAGCCCAGGCACUGCCAACUGCAGCCCUUUGCACUUCCCCACGCUUCCACCAGUGAUACAGAGAUGGAGCCACGUGGAGGAGUAAGUGCUUAUUAUUGUUUGCCUUGACACUCGGGGAAGCGUUGCAGAGUUGGCCUACCUUGCUAUUUCGCAUUGUCCCAUCAUUACCCACUGUCAAACUUUGCUUUGCAAUUACUCAUCUCCCAGGGGAGCAGCAAGUAGCAAUUUCCCCCCAAGAAAUAAUAGCAACCAACCAAAAUGAGCUGAUUGCAUGGAUACGCCAACGCAAAUGAGACAAGAACGGUUCCUGGUUGCAUUAUCCCUAAAUCGCUGCCUGUCGGUGGCUGUGCCCACAAUUACCCAUCAGCUGCAGGGAGCGAUGAGCACCCAGCCCUCCUCCUGCUCAUCCAUUUCAACACCAGUUCCCCAUGGGUGCAAUGGGAGCAGGUUGUGCAGUGAUGUACAACCCCUCGGUCAGAGCACCACACCAGCACCAUGAGCUUCCGCUGUUGGCAGGGAGGUGACACAGUGACUGCAUCCCGCCCAAUAACAUUGUGUUUGAGGAUCCCAGAGAGUCGUUGGAAAGGUCCAGAAAGUUCGUGAAAUUCCCAAGCUCCUCAGGAGCUCUAUGCACAUUGUGCUUUUGCCCCUGUUCUGGCUGCAGAGUCAGAAACUUCUGUACUACACCACCUCUCCUCCACUCUGGGGAGACCAAAUGUAAGAAGGCAGCACACCAACUCAUAACGAGGGCCGGGUGAUGGGGAUAGGAAACCACAAUCCCAAGUAGCACAACCUGCAGCACAACCCAAGUGGCCAUGACUGACUGUCACGUAAUUCCAAACCAGAAAGCUUUGGCACCAGCAGGUAACUCACCACCAAAGAAGCCUUUGUUCUUUGAGGCAGAGAGUUGUGCUGAUGUGUUGGACUGUAAAGGGAGCUGUUUGGAACAUCUCAGCUGUGCAGCAUUGAGUAACAUGAAGUUUUUCUUUUAAACAGAAGUUCUGAAGGGCCUUGGGCAAAGGAGAAGUGCUGAAGAAAUCUUGCUUUCUAAAAAACUAAAAAUUCAGGGAUUUCCAUGAAAAUGAGGCCUCUUGUGCUGUUAACUGCAUAUAACCGUGUAAUACCCUGAAAUAAGAAAUGCAAUUUUCUGCCUUUUUGAUCAGUUCCCAAGGUUAACAGCUGCACAAGCACUGAAUCCUUUCAGAAGCCCUGCACAGAUAUUCCCCUCAUGCAUCUUACUGUAGAAAACUACUCAGACAAAGCAGCUGCACAAAACAUUAGCAGCUGAUCUGAGCUAAUUCAAUCGUUCUGAUGAGGCUGCAAAGGAAGAAUCAGAGACAGAAGAACUACAAGGGAGCUCUCAUAUACCAAACCUCCUCCAGCACUGAGACACAUCACAAAGCAGGACCUGCCCCAACUACAGCUGCUGCUACCCUCCGUGAGGUCACACCAUAAGUUAUAACGGGGACUUUCUGAUGAGCUCCUGCUGGUGUUUAUAACCCAAGCCCACGUACAGUACUCUCCAAGAAUACCUUCAGCAAAACAGUCAGCAUCUGUUACAGCUCCUUCACUUUUCCAGGAUGCUGUCCUGAUCACCUGGGGACAGCAGAGCCAGAUCCAGUGUUCUUGAAACCAAUGCUGACCUCCGUGCUGUUGGAGCUGAGCCUGCCCCCCCCCAAAUCCCACUGCUACAUCAACGCGAGGCUGACUUAAAAGAGAGCAGAAACACAAUUCAUCACUUUUAGGAGACACUUUGCCAUGUUUUUCAAGAAUUGUGACACACACAGCUGAAUUUUACCAAGAAAUCAAUUACCUACCAGCUAUUCUAUGUAUCAAAAUAGGUUUCCAGGGAAGUAAAUCAUCCUCACCGUGUUAAUGCUGGUAGCACCAAGCCCAUCUGCAGGACCGUGUUCCCCAUUAAGAUGGAUGGCAACAUAUGAACCCGUACAGCUGACAGACAUUUACAGAGGAUAAUUACAGAGAUUGUUGGAAUAUCAGUUACUUUGACAUGUUAAUGGUAUCUUUUUAAUUAGAUACAAAGGCAGAGAGGUGAUAGCAAACUGUGCAGUGGCUGCUGAGCUGAUGUGCCAUCACCAGGACAGGGCCCCAGGGUGCCUUGUUCUGCCAAAGAGCAGCCCACCCUUUGAGCAGGACCAAGGCUGGUGCACAACUAUGAUGCUUUAAGGCCCCUCACUACAAGACACUGAGGCCCUGGACGUGUCUGAAGGAGGGCAAUGAAGCGAUGAAGGGGCUGUAACUUAUGACUCCAGCCAUAUGCAUUUCAAUGCCCACCCAGCAUUAGCAGCAGGGCUCUGCCAGGCUUACAGGUUGGCUGAGGAGAUGGUUUAUGAGGUUCCAAAU
ensembl:lncRNA